rnacentral:rRNA from 1 species
AUCAGUGGCGAACGGGUGAGUAACACGUGAGCAACCUACCCUUCACUCUGGGAUAAGCCUUGGAAACGAGGUCUAAUACCGGAUACGAGACGCACGGGCAUCUGUAGCGUCUGGAAAGAUUUAUCGGUGGGGGAUGGGCUCGCGGCCUAUCAGCUUGUUGGUGGGGUAAUGGCCUACCAAGGCGACGACGGGUAGCCGGCCUGAGAGGGCGACCGGCCACACUGGGACUGAGACACGGCCCAGACUCCUACGGGAGGCAGCAGUGGGGAAUAUUGCACAAUGGGCGCAAGCCUGAUGCAGCGACGCCGCGUGCGGGAUGACGGCCUUCGGGUUGUAAACCGCUUUCAGCAGGGAAGAAGCGAAAGUGACGGUACCUGCAGAAGAAGCGCCGGCUAACUACGUGCCAGCAGCCGCGGUAAUACGUAGGGCGCAAGCGUUGUCCGGAAUUAUUGGGCGUAAAGAGCUCGUAGGCGGUUUGUCGCGUCUGCUGUGAAAACCUCAGGCUCA